rnacentral:miRNA from 10 species
AGUCAGCCUGUCCUUUGAAGCUUUGAGGCCAGGCAUUGACUUCUCUCUAGCUAUGAAAGUCCUAGAUGGCAACUUCUUCCAAUAGGGCAUUUUGUCUACAUUAAAAAUCUGUU